rnacentral:sRNA from 1 species
GGAAGGAUGAGAAGCUUCGACUAAGGUUCGACUCGAGCGAAGCGAGAGAACGUUGCCACAGGCAACGGCCCGAAGGGCGAGGCGCUUUAGCGCCGAGUAAUCCUUCCCCCACCACCA